rnacentral:lncRNA from 1 species
AGAUGACCCAACGUUGCCUAAGUUAGAACAUGCACCGCUGCUGCCCAGGCUCCAAUAAGGGCAGGGUUGGCGCGUGUGGGCUUCUCUAAAGGGAAACAUGGCCAGUAAUUUUAAAAUCCAUCCCCUCUUCAAUGAUAGCAAAUAUAAAAGCAACGGGCUGCAAGGUACACGUAUGUUUAAUGAAAAAUGGAGGGACGUGCUUAAAAACAUGGGUACUAGCCGAUAAAAUGAGUCAAUUAAGACUAUUGCCACCUGCAGUAAAAUGGACCUCACAUUUCUCUUGACUACAGUUUUGUCAGAUCUAAAAUGAGGGUAGCCUUAAGUGAUUUCCAAAUUUCUUUCCAGGUCACAUUAGAUGAAUCUGUACCUUGGGACCACCACACCGUUAAUAUAUAAGACUGGAUUACAAUUAAAGGAUGAGGAAGCUUUCUCAAAGGGUGCUUUGUAUGUGUUUACUAGUUGUGCAAACCAUGAACCUCGGUAAUGUGGUUAAUAGACCAUGAAAAGGAUGUGGUUUCUGCCCUCGGCUUAAAACAAAGACAGCAAUAAGACUAAAAGUACUUCAGGGCACAUGAGAGCAAAUUUCAAUCAAUACUUAUAGGAGAGGGAAGUUAAUUUUGCCUGAAGAGAAGAUCUGGCCUGCAUUAUGCAUUAAUUAGUAUUAGCUAAAAACUAUGUGGACCUAGCCCUUAUCAUUAAAAUAAAACACUCAAGGGUUUACAAACUAUUGAAAUUUAAGAAAAUGUCUUUGCAAUGAAUGCUACUAAGACUCACUGUUAUUAAGUACAUACAUAUCAAUUCCAUAAACUCAAUGGAAAACAUUUUACUGUGCUUGUAAAAAGAAGUGACUCAUAAACAGGAAUUCUGUCAUUUUAUCACUUUCAUGAUAGAAUGAUGUGUAGAAUUUGUUUUACAAUGCUCCAGAAAUAAAAUGUAGGGAAUGGAAAGAAGAUAGGUGAAAGAAAAGUGGUGCAACAUCAGUCAGUGUUGAAGCUAAGUUCAUUUUGCUACUUUACCUACUCAUGCAUAUGUUGGAAAAUUUACAAAAUGAAAAGCUAAAAGGAGAGAGAGCAUCUUCAGCAUGAAAGACAGCCAUUACCAAAGCAUUUCCUAUCUUUAACAAAAACUGAAGUCUUAGCCUUCAGACUAAGGAUGGUAGGAAGAAAGUAGCAAGGAAGUAUGGGACUGACCUUGCCGUAAGGAGUCACAGACCAGGGUAAGGGACCUGUUGCUGUCAGACCAUGAUUGGCAUCUUAGCCCUGACACUUCCUAGCCAUGUGAUUUGGGGCUAAAACUAGUCCACACCAAAGUUCUCUUAAAAUGCGGGUAGUAAUAGAACCUGCUCCAAAAGGUGGCUGUGAAGAUUAUAUGAGAUAAGAAUAAUGCCUAGCACAUAUUCUAACUCAAAAAGCUUACAUAUUAGGUUGGUGCAAACAUAAUUGUGGUUUUUGCCACAAUAUUGCCAACACUAAUAUUAUUAUUUGGAGGCAACAAUACGCUGUAAUGUCUAUUUUUCUUAUACUAAAGUUAACUUCACUUAGCAUGAUACACAAUGCCUCUCACAGCCCAGCUUCAGUUUUGCCCACUUUACAUUCCACUAUUCCCAGAGUUCCCUGUGUCCUAGUAACACAAAGCUACUCCCCAUUCCCAAAGCACAUUGUGUACUUCAGUGUCUCCUUGCUCCUUCAUUCUGAUUAGAACACUCUUCUCCAGUUGUCCAGUGAAUCAUUCAGUCUCUGUCAUGUAGUCCACACUGUACCUCUGAUAGCUCAUGCAGAAUGAGCUGCUGUCUCUUCUCAGAUCCAAUUGCUCUUCUGUAUAACUGAUAUGGUUUGGCUCUGUGUCCCCAUCCAAAUCACAUUUUGUAGCUCCCCUAAUUCCCACGUGUUGUGGGAGGGACCCCAUGGGAGAUAAUUGAAUCAUGGGGGCGGGUCUUUCCCAUGUUGUUCUCGUGAUAGUGAAUAAGUCUCAUGAGAUCUGAUGGUUUUAAAAAUGGUAAUUUCCCUGCACAAGCUGUCUCUCUUUUGGCCUGCUGCCAUCCGCGUAAGACAUGACUUACUCCUCCGUGCCUUCCACCAUGAUUGUGAGGCUUCCCCAGCCAUGAGGAACUGUGAGUUGAAUAAACACUUUUUCCUGUAUAAAUUACCCCGUCUCGGGUAUGUCUUUAUCAGCAGCGUGAAAAUGGACUAAUACAAUAACUUCACCACAUACCUUUCAUAGUAUAAUGCAUUUAUAUGUAGCUAUCACCCUCUACCCUCACUCCUCCAACCACUACUAAAAACUCUUCAAGGUCAAGGGCUUUACCUUAUAUAUCUUUGUGUCCCCUGUAUUGCAGAAUACCCAUCCCAUAGAUGUACUUGGGAUAGACAGCUUCUGGCACUCCUCCCAAGAUCUCUCCCUCCUGGUUACAAAAACCUGAGACUUCCAUUUUGCUGGAAACUUCUUUUCCUCUUGCACACUCACUCUGCGACUCUGUGUGGAGAGCUCCAUGUGACAAGGGAGGUCUGCAGCCUAAGCAACUGAGACCUCAGCCCAACAGCCCUCAAAGAACUGGAUCUUCAAACAACCACAUGAGUGACCUAGAAGCAAAUCUGUCACCAGUGCUCUUGAGACGGGCUGAAGUAUUUAAUCACCGGCACAAAAUGUCCCAGUGUUCUGUUCUCCUGCUGUGGAAAUUUUAGAGAAAAGAUCAUGAUCUAAGAGUCUACAAGACCAGAGCAGCCUGAAUUGCUGAGCUGCCUGGUGGAGAAUAGCAGCAUUGGGUGGUUCCCAGGAUUCUUAAAAGGACUUUACAAAGGCCUGGCCUAAUCACUUAAGAGCUCUUAAGGAGUGAAUGGGCUCUUCCUGAAAAAAGAGCUUCUGCUAACCCUGAAAAGCAAGCAACAACCCUGUGAACUGCUAUGGAGAGAGAUGGCCUCUAACAGCUGAGGACCUCAGUCCUACAACCACAAGAAACUGAUUUCUGCCAACAACAUGAAUGAACUUGGAAAAGGCCCCUGAGCUCCAGAUGAGAACACCCAGGUCAACUCAGGUCAUGAGCAGAGAACCCUGUUAUAUUCUCCUUGGCUUGUGAUCCAUAAACAAUGAGAUUAUAAAUGUGUGGUUUUUAAGCCAUUAGGUUUGUGGUAACUUGUUACACAAGCCUCUUUUAGAUUCUUUACAUACACAAAUAUAUUCUAAACGAAUAAUGAGUCUUCCUUUCCCAUCUUUAUACCAUUUACUUCUUAUUCUUCCCUUACCGCUUUAAGACCUCUAGUAUAAAGUUGACUAGAAAAGGUGGUAGUGGCAUUAUUGUGUAGUUCUUUAUAUCAAAGGGAAGAUUUUCAAUGUUUUCAUGUUAAGUAUGACAUUUACUGUAGGUUUUUCAUAGAUGCUCUUUAAUCAGUUUAAGCAAUUCUUGUCUAUCCCUAGAAUUAUUGUCAGGAAUAAAUGUUGACUUUUAUCGAACACUGUUUCUGCACCUUUUAAAAAUAUCAUAUUUUUUCCUUCAAAUGGUUACUGUGUUGAAUUAUAUUAGCAGACAUUCUAAUGUUAAAGUAACCUAUCAUUCCAGAGAAAAGGAGGUGAGAAUAGCAGUUUAGUUAUGAUGCUGUAUCCCUUUUAUAAAUUCUUGGAUGCAAUUUGCCAAUAUUUGGUCUAAGAUUUUUGCAUUAUGUUAAUGACUGGAAAUGAGUCUUAAUUUUCCUUUAUUUUUCUGGCUUCUUUGUGUUUCGAUAUCAAGAAUAUGCAAGUCUCAUGCAAUAAAUUCUAUGGAAGAGUUGGUUAAGAUUGCAUUUUUUUCCUUACAUGUCUUAUAGAAAUGAGUGGUAAAAUAUCUGAAAAUGGAGGACUACUGAAGAAUUGGAUAUGGUUUCUUCAGGUUGUAAAGAAAAAUAUGUUAAGUAUGCUAACACUUAGAAACACUCAAAUAUAGCAAGCUAAAAUUGUUUAAUCAAUUAACCACUUUUGUGGAAACAUAUCUGCAGAAAUGGAAUGAGACUAUAAAUUAGUGUUUCCUGAACAUAUUUCACUAUCAAACACUUCUUCAAUUUCAGUUUGUAAAAUAAAGUGUAUUUUGUUUAUUUAAAACUUUCUUCUUUCAUUCAAAGAUCCAAGACAAAGAAUGUGUUUAGUCUAGCGUUUUAUAAACAUGAAAUCCUGAAUAUGACAAAUGCAUGCUGAAUUUCAAUAUUUAAUCGGCAUACAUCAGUUUGUUAAUAAAUGUUCCUUAUGUAUUAAAGCUCAGAUUUUGCAUUUAUGAUGCAUGAAGAAUUAUAAAUCAUGUGGUUUCAUCCCGUUGCAAGAAUACAAUGCCACACUCAAAAGUAAUCUCAAAAUACUUGUAUUUCUCAAGUCUUUUGAAAGGG